UACGUAGGGGGCAAGCGUUGUCCGGAAUCAUUGGGCGUAAAGAGCUCGUAGGCGGUUUGUCGCGUCUGCUGUGAAAUCCUCAGGCUCAACCUGGGGCUUGCAGUGGGUACGGGCAGACUAGAGUGCGGUAGGGGUGACUGAAUUCCUGGUGUAGCGGUGGAAUGCGCAGAUAUCAGGAGGAACACCGAUGGCGAAGGCAGGUCACUGGGCCGCAACUGACGCUGAGGAGCGAAAGCAUGGGGAGCGAACAGG
rnacentral:rRNA from 1 species